rnacentral:misc_RNA from 1 species
AAUAUCAAUCCCCUCGGGUUUCUGAUCUGGGGUGGGCUUGGAUUUGGGUGUCUGCCAGUCACUCGGCUGGCUCACCUCAAAAGACUUAGUGGGAUUAGCGUCCACGGCCCGACGUAAUAAGUUUCGUCCGGCCAGGUGCAAGGCCUGCUCAUAACCCCUCGCCCGCCUGGGCGUUAACACUUUUUGA